CAGGUUCACAAUGGUCAUUCUCUCUGCUGUAUCACAAAACCCCUGCUCUGGUCAGGGAGACACACAGCAUUUUCAUUCCUUCUUCUGUUCUUUUUUAUGCUGUUUGCCCUGCCCAGGCUUUUCUCCGCUCAUUUGAACUGCACCAACAUUCACAAGUGCCAACUUAUUCAUGAAGACUUCCAGAGUAAUUCUAAUAACUCAACUUUGCAUUCCCAGUGCACCUGGUGGGGAACCUGUGGCCCAGAAAGCUGAAGAACCUUGCUGGAGUUCACACAGCUGUGACCAGUGGGUCCCAGAUGUGAACUUAGCCUAAGUGUGAGUCCAGAGCCCAAUGCCAUCUCCUGCUACCCAACAGGACAGCACAAGUUCAAGGCCGGGGGGCUUGGAUUUUGAUCUCUGGAAGACAGUUGGGGGAAAAACCUUUGGAAUGAAUUUGGUGACCCUCUCAUACACACGUAUUUCAGCACGGCCCACAGGCCUGGCUUUCUGAAGGAGCGCUCUUCCCGGCGUGGGCUUGGUGGGUGGCUCUUACAGGAAGG